GAUGAACGCUAGCGGGAGGCUUAAUACAUGCAAGUCGAGCGCCCCGCAAGGGGAGCGGCGCACGGGUGAGUAACACGUACGCAAUCUACCUUAUGCAGGGGGAUAGCCCUGGGAAACUGGGAGUAAUCCGCCAUAGUAUUUAUUGAUGGCAUCAUUGAUAAAUUAAAGUACAAGCGGCAUAAGAUGAGCGUGCGUCUGAUUAGCUAGUUGGCGAGGUAACGGCUCACCAAGGCGACGAUCAGUAAGGGGCGUGAGAGCGUGGCCCCUCACACGGGUACUGAGACACGGACCCGACUCCUACGGGAGGCAGCAGUAAGGAAUAUUGGACAAUGGGCGGAAGCCUGAUCCAGCCAUCCCGCGUGUUUGAUGAAGGCCCUCUGGGUCGUAAAGAACUUUAGACUGGGAAGAAACCACUUGAUGAGUCAGGUGUUGACGGUACCAGUAGAAUAAGCACCGGCUAACUCCGUG
rnacentral:rRNA from 1 species